rnacentral:rRNA from 1 species
UACGUAGGGGGCUAGCGUUGUCCGGAUUUAUUGGGCGUAAAGAGCUCGUAGGUGGUUCGGUAAGUCGGAUGUGAAAUCUCCAGGCUCAACCUGGAGGGGUCAUUCGAUACUGCCGUGACUAGAGUUCGGUAGAGGAGUGUGGAAUUCCUGGUGUAGCGGUGAAAUGCGCAGAUAUCAGGAGGAACACCGGUGGCGAAGGCGGCAUCCUGGACCAAUUCUGACACUGAGGAGCGAAAGCCAGGGAGCAAACGGG